rnacentral:lncRNA from 1 species
UAUUGCUCUUUGAGGCAUGAUCGCAGCUUAGAUGGUCACCGAAUCUUCUAUUUGUGAGAAGAGGUUGGGUAAUUCCAUCCCUUUGAUCUGAAACAGAUGAAAUGCGGCGAAUUAAAGGCUGAUCCCAGUACCGUGUGACAAGAAUUUUUGUUCUGGUAGGGGUUAGACUGAACCAUAAAUGGCUGCCUACGUACUCCUAUUGAAGAGGAGAUCAAGUCUGCGUAGUUCGAACCUGGUGUAAGAGGUUCAAUGCUAAAUGUGAAAGGCAGAUGGGUAUAGAAAUGUUUUUGUAUAGAAAUGGCAAAAAUGUUUUGGUUAAUUUUCUUUAUUGCGAUCGGGCCAUAUA